UAGUAACUGUGAUAUUGGCCUGGUUCACUCAGACAUGAAACAAGGAGCAGUUUUUGAUCUCUCAGAAGAGUUGAAGCAUCAGUGGUUUUGGUCUGAUUGAGCCGUGCCAAUAUCUUAAGUACUGUU
rfam:Gossypium raimondii Chr08_contig_235, whole genome shotgun sequence.